rnacentral:rRNA from 1 species
AUUGAACGCUGGCGGCAGGCCUAACACAUGCAAGUCGAGCGGUAGAGAGAAGCUUGCUUCUCUUGAGAGCGGCGGACGGGUGAGUAAUGCCUAGGAAUCUGCCUGGCAGUGGGGGAUAACGUUCGGAAACGGACGCUAAUACCGCAUACGUCCUACGGGAGAAAGCAGGGGACCUUCGGGCCUUGCGCUAUCAGAUGAGCCUAGGUCGGAUUAGCUAGUUGGUGGGGUAAUGGCUCACCAAGGCGACGAUCCGUAACUGGUCUGAGAGGAUGAUCAGUCACACUGGAACUGAGACACGGUCCAGACUCCUACGGGAGGCAGCAGUGGGGAAUAUUGGACAAUGGGCGAAAGCCUGAUCCAGCCAUGCCGCGUGUGUGAAGAAGGUCUUCGGAUUGUAAAGCACUUUAAGUUGGGAGGAAGGGCAGUAAAUUAAUACGUUGCUGUUUUGACGUUACCGACAGAAUAAGCACCGGCUAACUCUGUG